UACGGGGGGGGCAAGCGUUGUCCGGAAUCAUUGGGCGUAAAGCGCGCGUAGGCGGCCCUGUAAGUCCGUUGUGAAAGUCAAAGGCUCAACCUUUGAAAGCCGAUGGAUACUGCAGGGCUGGAGUCCGGAAGAGGCGAGUGGAAUUCCUGGUGUAGCGGUGGAAUGCGCAGGAUAUCAGGAGGAACACCAAUAGCGAAGGCAGCUCGCUGGGACGGUACUGACGCU
rnacentral:rRNA from 1 species